rnacentral:rRNA from 1 species
UACAGAGGGUGCAAGCGUUGUUCGGAAUUACUGGGCGUAAAGCGCACGUAGGCGGAUAUUUAAGUCAGGGGUGAAGUCCCGGGGCUCAACCCCGGAACUGCCUUUGAUACUGGGUAUCUAGAGUCCAGAAGAGGUGAGUGGAAUUCCGAGUGUAGAGGUGAAAUUCGUAGAUAUUCGGAGGAACACCAGUGGCGAAGGCGGCUCACUGGUCUGGUACUGACGCUGAGGUGCGAAAGCGUGGGGAGCAAACAGG